CGGGGGGAGCAAGCGUUGUUCGGAUUUACUGGGCGUAAAGGGCGCGUAGGCGGCCACCGCAAGUCGACUGUGAAAUCUCCGGGCUUAACCCGGAAAGGUCAGCCGAUACUGCGGGGCUAGAGUGCAGAAGGGGCAACUGGAAUUCUCGGUGUAGCGGUGAAAUGCGUAGAUAUCGAGAGGAACACCUGCGGCGAAGGCGGGUUGCUGGGCUGACACUGACGCUGAUGCGCGAAGGCUAGGGGAGCGAACGGGAUUAGAUACCCCGGUAGUCCUAGCCUUAAACGAUGAAUGCUUGGUGUCUGGGGUUUUAUAGUCCCCGGGUGCCGUCGCUAACGCUUUAAGCAUUCCGCCUGGGGAGUACGGACGCAAGACUG
rnacentral:rRNA from 1 species